rnacentral:piRNA from 1 species
UCAAUAAAUAUUAGCUGCUAUUGAUACAAU